GAAGGCUAUGUUGGCCGGGCGACGGUUGUCCCGGUUUAAGCGUGUAGGCUGGUUUUCCAGGCAAAUCCGGAAAAUCAAGGCUGAGGCGUGAUGACGAGGCACUACGGUGCUGAAGCAACAAAUGCCCUGCUUCCAGGAAAAGCCUCUAAGCAUCAGGUAACAUCAAAUCGUACCCCAAACCGACACAGGUGGUCAGGUAGAGAAUACCAAGGCGCUUGAGAGAACUCGGGUGAAGGAACUAGGCAAAAUGGUGCCGUAACUUCGGGAGAAGGCACGCUGAUAUGUAGGUGAAGUCCCUUGCGGAUGGAGCUGAAAUCAGUCGAAGAUACCAGCUGGCUGCAACUGUUUAUUAAAAACACAGCACUGUGCAAACACGAAAGUGGACGUAUACGGUGUGACGCCUGCCCGGUGCCGGAAGGUUAAUUGAUGGGGUCAGCGCAAGCGAAGCUCUUGAUCGAAGCCCCGGUAAACGGCGGCCGUAACUAUAACGGUCCUAAGGUAGCGAAAUUCCUUGUCGGGUAAGUUCCGACCUGCACGAAUGGCGUAAUGAUGGCCAGGCUGUCUCCACCCGAGACUCAGUGAAAUUGAACUCGCUGUGAAGAUGCAGUGUACCCGCGGCAAGACGGAAAGACCCCGUGAACCUUUACUAUAGCUUGACACUGAACAUUGAGCCUUGAUGUGUAGGAUAGGUGGGAGGCUUUGAAGUGUGGACGCCAGUCUGCAUGGAGCCGGCCUUGAAAUACCACCCUUUAAUGUUUGAUGUUCUAACGUGGACCCGUGAUCCGGGUUGCGGACAGUGUCUGGUGGGUAGUUUGACUGGGGCGGUCUCCUCCUAAAGAGUAACGGAGGAGCACGAAGGUUGGCUAAUCCUGGUCGGACAUCAGGAGGUUAGUGCAAUGGCAUAAGCCAGCUUGACUGCGAGCGUGACGGCGCGAGCAGGUGCGAAAGCAGGUCAUAGUGAUCCGGUGGUUCUGAAUGGAAGGGCCAUCGCUCAACGGAUAAAAGGUACUCCGGGGAUAACAGGCUGAUACCGCCCAAGAGUUCAUAUCGACGGCGGUGUUUGGCACCUCGAUGUCGGCUCAUCACAUCCUGGGGCUGAAGUAGGUCCCAAGGGUAUGGCUGUUCGCCAUUUAAAGUGGUACGCGAGCUGGGUUUAGAACGUCGUGAGACAGUUCGGUCCCUAUCUGCCGUGGGCGCUGGAGAACUGAGGGGGGCUGCUCCUAGUACGAGAGGACCGGAGUGGACGCAUCACUGGUGUUCGGGUUGUCAUGCCAAUGGCACUGCCCGGUAGCUAAAUGCGGAAGAGAUAAGUGCUGAAAGCAUCUAAGCACGAAACUUGCCCCGAGAUGAGUUCUCCCUGACCCUUUAAGGGUCCUGAAGGAACGUUGAAGACGACGACGUUGAUAGGCCGGGUGUGUAAGCGCAGCGAUGCGUUGAGCUAACCGGUACUAAUGAACCGUGAGGCUUAACCU
rnacentral:rRNA from 1 species